rnacentral:rRNA from 1 species
CCUACGGGUGACAGCAGUGAGGAAUAUUGGUCAAUGGACGAGAGUCUGAACCAGCCAAGUAGCGUGAAGGAUGACUGCCCUAUGGGUUGUAAACUUCUUUUAUAAAGGAAUAAAACGAGGCACGUGUGCCUUUUUGCAUGUACUUUAUGAAUAAGGAUCGGCUAACUCCGUGCCAGCAGCCGCGGUAAUACGGAGGAUCCGAGCGUUAUCCGGAUUUAUUGGGUUUAAAGGGAGCGUAGAUGGGUUGUUAAGUCAGUUGUGAAAGUUUGCGGCUCAACCGUAAAAUUGCAAUUGAUACUGGCAGUCUUGAGUACAGUUGAGGUAGGCGGAAUUCGUGGUGUAGCGGUGAAAUGCUUAGAUAUCACGAAGAACCCCGAUUGCGAAGGCAGCUUACCAAACUGUGACUGACAUUGAUGCUCGAAAGCGUGGGUAUCAAACAGGAUUAGAUACCCUUGUAGUC